CGCCGCCACCCACCCCUCCCCUCCCUACCUCAGAUUGUCUCCCCUCUCCCCACUCUCAGAUCCAACUGGCCCGAGACGGAGGCCGUCGUGGACAUGGUCGCCACCACCGACCGCGAGUGGGGGUCCUCGUCCUCUCCCUUGUCGUCCUUAGCGGCGGCAUCUGGCUGAGCUACCGGGCCGCCACUACCGACUGCGAGUGGUUCCUGGAGCGGCCAGUCAUCGCGCUAGAGGCGCUGCGCCUGGUGCUCUUCCUCACGGGGCUCGCGGGGUCCCUCUUCCGCGUCUUCAUCAUCUUCUCCUUCGUCGUCACCAACUGCAGCCACGACGUUACGGCCGUGCGGCACCCGCCUUCAGAUCCCUCCGCCCACUCGUGCCCUUGCUCCCUUCUGCCUGCGGGGCUGCGCCCCUCGUGCUGCUCCCCAACGACGCGGGUAGGCGCGCGGGCUUGUCCAAGUGUCGGGCGACCGGUCGUGGUGGUACAAGCAUCGUUGAGAGGGGGCCGGAGGAGCCAUCUUCCUGGCCAUCGCCUACUUUGACCGCUUCUUCCUCUGGCGAUGCAUCGAUAGGACGGCCAUGCCGUGGGCGGCGCGGCUCCUAUCCAUGGCCUGCGUCUCUAUGGCGGCGAAGAUGGAGGAGUUCUGCGCACCGGCACUGUCGGAGCUCGACGCCAGCAGCGGCUACGAGUUCUGCUCCGCCUCCGUCCGCUGAAUGGAGCUGCUCGUGUUGUCAACCCUCGGCUAGCGCAUGGCCGCCGUUACGCCCUUCGACUACCUCCCCUGCUUCUCUUCUCGGCUCGACCGGCACGACGGCCGCUGCAGCGGCAAGCAUGACCCCGCCCACGUGGCCCUCAAGUCCAUGGACUUCAUCUUUGCCACAACCGAAGCCGGCAAUGUGCUAGAUUACAGGCUAUCUACUGUAGCUGCGGCUGCAAUCUUGGCUGCAUCCUACGGAGCUCUACUGACCAAAGAAGCACUAGAGUCCAUGAAACUCUGUUUUUUAGACUACUAGGAAUGACUGCUUCUGCUUGGUUGGGUGCAGUCGAAAUCCGUGAUAACAAGCUAGCUAGCUAGCAACCAUGUCUGUGGCCAUGUCCAGAUAUAUAUAUCCUUCUCCAUUGUAGAUCCAUUGUAUUUGCAUGCUGCUAUAUUAUGUCAAGUUGAGUGAAGCAAACAUAUCCUCGUGUGUGUGUGUGUGUGUGUGUGUGUGUGUGUGUGUAAUCAUCUCCUAAUGCUCCUACCAGCUUUCUGACUUCGGCAAAUGAUUUGACUCCUCUCACUUGGCCUAGGAGCAACACCACUGCUGAUGAGAGCAGAUCCUUUCCCUCAAUAGAUUAGCAUCAUUCCAUUCUUACUCUGUAGUAGAAUUGGUAGUGAUAGAGUGGGUGAAUCUAUGUGAUGUAGAGAUACACUAAGAUCAAGCAAAAAUAUAUAUUAGUUCUCCUGAUGCUUACCAGUGAAUUCAAGUCUGCUUAUUUGAAGGUCCAACACUUGUGCAUACUGAUUUGUGUCCUUUGUGGUUUGGGGAAAGAAAAUAUAAAGGUGUGGUUAUUAUUGGUUUGGCUCUUGCAAUGCAUAGGCACAGCAGGGUAUUCUCCUGUGUGCUACUAAAUGUCACGGAGAAGAAACAAAGAUGGCAAGUAAAAAGAAACUGUUUAUAACUUCAACACUAGCUGAAUUUACAGCAAAACUAAUUUGUAAAAUAAAACCUGGAUUAGAUCAACAAGUCCUUAGCAUAUCAAACGUUCCACUUUGGAAAUGUCAGCCUGUAGCACAUAAUAUGUUAUCUUAUUGCCGUUGUGUCACUGUAUCCUAGUAAUUCUGUUGUGUCACUGUAUCCCAGUAAAGCAAGAUGCUUGCUAUACUCAUGUUCCUGAUUAUAUUGGUGUACACUCAAUUUGGUUAUUUCUUCUAGUUCUGCUACUAGUUGCUGUGUACUCCUAGUGUUGUAGUUAUUGUGUAGUAAUACAGAAAUAUUAAUGCUCAAAUAUGAUGAUGUGGCCUGCAGCGCACCUGCUUCGACGCCGACCCGUCCAUCGUCAUCGCCUUCGAGGACGACAAGGACACUGCAAGCAUCGUCGGCUUCCACCACUACCACAUCGUCGUCACCUACAAGUUUCACGAUGGCGUCUGGGCCAUCGAGUCCUUCUGCAGCUGCUGCCGCUGCUCCUUCCACAAUUUGGGUGGGACUCGUCAGAUCAGCCUCCUUGUUUCCUAUUUUAGGUAGUACAUCCUUCUUGCUCGAAUCUACUACUUGAUUUGCCUGCAUAUCUCCCGCUCCGGCGCAGAAUUGAUGGGUUCUUCCUGGAUUCUGGAAACCUGCAAAAAUUGAAUUUUCUAGGGGCAAUCUCAGCCUACUCGCCACAAUUUCUGCUUGUCUGAUUGGCUCCAGCAUUAAUUACUAGGCCGAGAUUUUAGUUUGUUGUCAUCGUCGAGUCUCAGAUCCUCAUGCCCAUUUAUAUGUUCUCUAUUGUGAAUUACUUCUAUGUUGUGUGUCAAAAUUUGAAGUAGAUCUGAAGUCUGCAUAGAUUUGAAGUAGAUCUAAAGUAGAUCAUGUCAUUUUUCUGAACUAUGCAUAGAUUUGUAACAAUGAGCAUAGGUGGUUAUAGGUUGUUGUGAUGAUGAAUAUAAAUAUUAAGAAGUGCUCAUGCAUGGCGGUAUACCAGAUACCAUUGUUUUCACCGUUUUAUCAACAUGCCUUUGCUGAAUCUUUGGUUUAUAUGUGUAAACUAUACAUUUUCAGCUCUUGAGUACUUUUUAGUUAUUGAACGAACUCAUACUGGUUAGUGUUGGCCAUAUGCAAGUAAACUAGAUACCCACAAGACUUAACUAUUUCCCAAAGCUAUAGUGAGACAUUCUAUACUACACUGCUAAUGCUUAUCCGAGUUCGUUGUUUUAUGUUCAUGGUAAAUAAAUGUUGACAUAUUAGCUAAUUGUGUACCUAAAUAUGACCGAGGUACAAUGGAUACAACAAGCUCAUCCUCCUCAAUCCCUAGCUACCGCAUGACUGCCGAAGUGCAUACUCCCUCCUGUUCCUGGAGCAUCUGGACCUCUUAUUGUAGUAGUUGGUAUGCUUGAUGCGUGUAUGUCCAUCUCUUUACUGUUUUGCUAGAACCAUAAAUCCUGAUGCAUGAUGAUCAUGGUCUGGUUUGUUAGAUCUAUUCUGCCGCUGCUUAAAAUUUGACAUGCCUGGAUUCUUAAUGAACUCGUCCUUAUAGUUCUUUUCAUUUCUAUGAUCAAUUUAGAGAGUUGCACAUGUCAGUAUAUUAU